CAGUGUAGAAUAAAGUAUAUGGACAUCUGAAUUCGCGGACUUUGAGCAGUGCCACUUCAGAUAAUUGGAGACCUCAUGAUUUGUGUUGUGCACCCAUCCAUGAUUACAAAAAUCUGGUCUACAAUUAUGUGGCGUACAAUCUCCUAAAAAGGUUUUUGAUAGUUGGAUAAAAUAUGGGUUAAGGCAUUGUUAGUAGAAGGAAAGAAGCACAACGUCAAGCUGCAGAGAUAUCUUGAAGAAACCAGGCCGGUAAGUUAGUGGUGUGUUGCAUAUUUGUACUUGAUUGUCCAGUUUUGUUCUCACGGUUAUAAUCUUAUAGGAAGUAUAUUAUGGCAACCAAGAGUUCCAUUUAAAAUUUGUAUUCUUCAUGUUUUGUUGCAUGUAUGAGGGCGGUGGGCUAACUCACCACAUGGCGUUGCUUUUGGGUGCAAAGCAGAUGAAAAAUCAAGAUUGGUCUACGGUCAAUCCAUUUUUUGCAAGGUUGAACAAGACUGUUUCACUGUAUCCAUCACUCGUAACUUUCUGACUGUAAAGAGAAGCUCUCUCUCUGUGAAUUAGUUUCCUAUUUGACUGGCCUACCAGUUCUGGGGUAUUCUUCAGACAUUGGGAAGGAGCAUGUAAAUUUGGUCGAUGUGUAAUUAUAGAAGUUGAUAUACAAUGGCCAGCUUGAUUAAAAGGAAUUAGACAGGGGCACUGGAGGAGGGCAAGCUGAUCAGCGUGAAUGGCAACAGCUCUCAACCACAAUCAGCCGUAACAGCAAGACGCACAGGGAUCGUCGACUGGCCACUCUGCAGCAUCCAUGCUGCGCACCGCCAGCACCCUUGGUGAAAGCAUUCUCCUCAUCAUCGCGCUCUGCUUCCACUCCACGAUAGCCCACUGGUACAGAUCAAUAUGAUUGUUACCUAUGAUGAACCUGAUGGCACCGUGUGUUGCCCAAUAAAACCUGAUUCGGAUGCCAAUGAUGCACAAUGAGGAGAUGGUUGGUCCUUGGCGUGCUUAUGGCAGCAGCUCCCCUUGCCAGCAAACUCGCCAUCUCUUUCCCUAGACGAGGGAGGAGCAGACUCACCGGCUCAGACGGUGGUUUUGGCACUGGCGGACUCCUCCACGAAUCGGGCCACAUGUGAGAUGGCGGGGCGUGGUCUGCGUGACUCCAUGAGAUCCAUGGACAUCGGCUCUUUGUCCGGCGUGGGGAUGCGCAAUGGCUCGGUGACAGAAAGCAUGUGUUGCAGGCCAGCGGGCAGAGGAGGGAACCCUCGGCUACGGUCACAGUCGGUGUGGUAUGGAUCCUUAUCGACAUCACAAUCCCCUACGUCUGUUCUACUUCCCUUCAGGUAAUUUGUUAUCUUCUGUGCUCUGUGAUGGCCAUUUCUUAUGCUUGGACUUGCAGGGAGAUUGGAGCCAGCUCUCACUCAUGUAUUAUAGAUCUGUGUGUAUUAUCUAUUUUUUUAGUUUUCUGGUCAUUUGAUUUGAUCAGUCUGUUAUUCAGCUCGUUAAAACUGUUGCUUCUGAUGAUGAUUUGUUGAUGAUUUUUGCAACUUAAGAAUCACACCAAGGUGAUCUGGAGGAGGGAGGUGAUCAUUUACUUGAACAUUGGCAGUACCACACCCACCGUCUCCUCUCUCUAUCCCUUAAACAUUUUUUUGGGUUUAAAACUGCUUCUGUCCAAUGGUGGUGAAACUUAAGUAACUUGUGAUAAGAAGAAGAAAGAUAUUACUAACCACCUCCUGCUUCUGUCCAAUUCGUGAUUGUACUAUAGCCAUUGGUGCUUGCUGAAAUUCAGGUCCUCCUGUAAUAUGCCAUUGGUGUUUGCAAGGUGAUUGCUUCCAUUUUUAUCUGGCCUCUCAGUUUGUUUUUUGUCAGUCCAAUAGGAUCAGUGCGCGAUAGAGCAAGCAAUUUAGGUAGGGAAAACCUCCGUAAUAUAUUAAUCAAGAAAUGCAACAGUACGGAAAAUGUUUCAAUGUUGGCUUUCCUUUAUUUUUCCAAUUUAUUUAACAGAAACCUGGUCACUGUCUUAUUUUGCAAUGCAACUGUUUCAGAGCAUCACUGGUUAUGCCUAUAUGGAAUUUUACCAUUCAUCAUCUUGUGCAUGUGCAUGCCAAUGGUGGCGUGUUUUCUUGUGCUCGUUUGUUGAAUUGCGUAAGCUAGGCAAAAGAGAAGCGGAAGAUCCGAUGAAAGAGUUUGUUGAUGAUCAUGCCAAUCAGGUCUAACUUCUUGAAUGAUUUGCAUUCAUUGGAUCCAGAGUUAUAUCGGCAUAUUCUAUUCUUCAAGGUCUGAAUCUAUUUACAUUGUGUGAAGAAGAAAAUGGUUGUUGGCAUGUUCAGUAGUGUAAGAUCUUCGUGGAAGCUACAUGUGGUUGCGCUUCUGCUUUGAAACACAACUGCUGAAGUGCUUGUCUUUAGGUUUAUGUUUUUGUUCAUAUGUUCUGAAGCUGUCAUAAUUUGAGUAUUUUAAUAUAAAUACAAAUUGCCAUAGUUAGUAUAUGUACGGAUGUUUUUGGCAUCAAUUGUGAGGCUGCACUCCUAUCCAAAUAUUGCUGGGGGUAUUGUGUCUUCAUAGCAUGGGAUACCUCCGUAAGAUGGCUUUAAAUUUAUCUGUACAAAGUUCUUUGUCCUGACGUUAUUUUUCCAAUGAUACAACCUAUCUCCCUUUCCAUGUUCAGCAUUAGCAUCACGACCUCUUGGCGAUUUGAGGUGUGCACUUGAGCUAUUGGAAGAUAAUUCCAUCAAUGAAUUCAUACCUUUUUGGACAUAAUAAGUUCAAACAAUAGAUCUUUAGUCUAAGAGUUCAGCAACAUUUCAUCACUCAUCUCGGUGUUUCUCAGCCUUAGUUGUUCAUGCUAUCGGGAGCUGCCAGCAUGGCGAACACUUACAUUGAGUUAAAGUUGCAAUACCUGCAGGACUACAUCGCGGUGACCCUCAAUUCUAGAAGGAGCGGGUCAAACGUACAGGUCUACUUCGUGCGGUCGUUGCUUGACAUGAUCAAGUACCUGUUCGGAUACAAAUGGGCUACGACCUCUACGGUGUUGACUUCAACUCCAAGGAGAGGACAAGUUUUGGCGGUCCAUCUUCUCCAAGCAAAGCCAUAGGCCAUGGACCUGCUGCUGUGCUCUAAUUUGGUAGCAGCAUGACAGUGGCGAGAGAGCAGGGGACUGGGCUACCUUACGGGAGAUCUGUACGGUUUGGAGUUAGAAUGCCUAAAUCCUAAAUUUCUAUUUAACCCCUUUGCCUUAUUUAUAUGUAUUUUAUAGCUCCUAGAUAUAUGAGCUAUCUACCUUAACACCAUCAGAGUAGGACUAAACAUAUUAUUGCAAUAUGGGCUAUUUACUAUUGUGUGACCUUUUGAUUCUAUCAUCUGUGUUUGUGUUGUAUGACAAUGUAUUGCUAUUGGUGA